AUACGGAGGAUGCAAGCGUUAUCCGGAUUUAUUGGGUUUAAAGGGUGCGUAGGCUGUUCGGAAAGUCAGGGGUGAAAGCCCGGCGCCUAACGCCGGAACUGCCUUUGAUACUUCCGAGCUGGAAUACGGAUGCCGUGGGAGGAAUGAGUAGUGUAGCGGUGAAAUGCAUAGAUAUUACUCAGAACACCGAUUGCGAAGGCAUCUCACGAAUCCGUCAUUGACGCUGAGGCACGAAAGCGUGGGGAUCAAACAGGAUUAGAUACCCUGGUAGUCCACGCAGUAAACGAUGAGGACUAACCGUCGGCGAUACACAGUCGGUGGCCAAGCGAAAGCGAUAAGUCAUCCACCUGGGGAGUACGUUCGCAAGAAUGAAACUCAAAUGAAUUGACGGGG
rnacentral:rRNA from 1 species